rnacentral:rRNA from 1 species
CCUACGGGUGGCAGCAGUGGGGGAUAUUGCACAAUGGGGGAAACCCUGAUGCAGCGACGCCGCGUGGGUGAAGAAGCGCCUCGGCGCGUAAAGCCCUGUCAGUCGGGAAGAAAAUGACGGUACCUGAAGAAGAAGCACCGGCUAACUACGUGCCAGAAGGCGCGGGAACACGUAGGGGGCAAGAGUUAUCCGGAUUUACUGGGUGUAAAGGGGGCGCAGACGGCGAUGCAAGCCAGGAGUGAAAGCCCGGGGCCCAACCCCGGGACUGCCCUUGGAACUGCGUGGCUAGAGUGGAGGUGGGGCAGGCGGAAUGCGUGGUGUAGCGGUGAAAUGCGUAGAUAUCAGGAGGAACACCGGUGGCGAAGGCGGCCUGCUGGACUGCAACUGACGUUGAGGCCCGAAAGCGUGGGGAGCAAACAGGAUUAGAUACCCCAGUAGUC